CUGCUGUAGAGUUCGUAGGACACGAUGACACAAUACCGCUUGGCGACUCAUUGUGUCAACACCUUUAAAUCAAUUAAUUAAAUUAAAUCAUUAAUGCGAAAAAUACUCUUUAAAUGAAAGGAGGAGAAGAGAAAACUAAUUGCUAGCAUUGCAACACCUACCAAGCUCUUUUUGAUAAAUAAAUGAGCUGCUUUUGCUACAGUAUAUGGAUAUAUAUUACAGUAGGCAAUGACAGGCCAAAACAAAUUACAUCCAUACACCAAUUGACCUGGAUGAAGAAAAAAUAAUACGAAUUAAAAAUGUACCACUAAAAUGAACCGAUCUUGUUUUGUCAAAAAUAUUACGAUUUUGAUCUAAUCUUUGGACAGUUUCUGUAAGUUUAUGGUAAUACAGAAUGCUGAUAAUAGGGCAGAAUUAUACUAUUUUAUGGAGAAGUAUUUUGUUUCCAUUACGUGCUAUAAACACUAAUCUUUAGCAUAGGCUGUUUUGUUUGUGUCCUCGACUCGAGGCUACUAGCGAAAAACGUGAUUGAAUCAUUUUUAACUUUGUUUGGUCUGACUUCGGUACCGGAA